AAUCCAACCAUCUUGCAAUAGGUUCCAACAAUCCCUCAAUUGCCGAAACGAGGGAUUGUUGGAACCUAUUGCAAGAUGGUUGGAU